GACGAACGCUGGCGGCGUGCUUAACACAUGCAAGUCGAGCGAUGAAGUUUCUUCGGAAAUGGAUUAGCGGCGAACGGGUGAGGAACACGUGAAGAAUCUGCCCUCCACUUUGGGAUAACACAGGGAAACCUGUGCUAAUACCGAAUAUUGAAACAUAAGUGGCAUCACUGAGUUUUGAAAGAAUUUCGGUGGAGGAUGACUUCGCGGCCUAUCAGCUAGUUGGUGAGGUAAGGGCUCACCAAGGCAACGACGGGUAGCCGGCCUGAGAGGGCGACCGGCCACACUGGGGCUGAGACACACACCAGACUCCUACGGUAGGCAUCAGGGGGGAAUAUUGGGCAAUGGAGAAAACUCUGACCCAGCUACGCCGCGUGCGGGAUGAAGGCCCUCGGGUUAUAGACCGCGUUCAGUAGGGAAGAAGCGAAACUGACGAUACCUACAAAAGAAGCACCGGCUAACUAUGUGCCAGCAGCCGCGGUAA
rnacentral:rRNA from 1 species